rnacentral:rRNA from 1 species
UGACAGGUGGUGCAUGGUUGUCGUCAGCUCGUGUCGUGAGAUGUUGGGUUAAGUCCCGCAACGAGCGCAACCCUUAUUGUUAGUUGCCAUCAUUUAGUUGGGCACUCUAGCGAGACUGCCGGUGACAAACCGGAGGAAGGUGGGGAUGACGUCAAAUCAUCAUGCCCCUUAUGACCUGGGCUACACACGUGCUACAAUGGGAAGUACAACGAGUCGCUAGACCGCGAGGUCAUGCAAAUCUCUUAAAGCUUCUCUCAGUUCGGAUUGCAGGCUGCAACUCGCCUGCAUGAAGCCGGAAUCGCUAGUAAUCGCGGAUCAGCACGCCGCGGUGAAUACGUUCCCGGGCCUUGUACACACCGCCCGUCACACCACGAGAGUUUGUAACACCCGAAGUCGGUGAGGUAACCUUUUUGGAGCCAGCCGCCUAAGGUGGGAUAGAUGAUUGGGGUGAAGUCGUAACAAGGUAGCCGUAUCGGAAGGUGCGGCUGGAUCACCUCCUUU